rnacentral:rRNA from 1 species
UACGUAGGGUGCAAGCGUUGUCCGGAAUUAUUGGGCGUAAAGAGCUCGUAGGCGGUUUGUUGCGUCGGCUGUGAAAUCCCGAGGCUCAACCUCGGGUCUGCAGUCGAUACGAGCAAACUAGAGUGUUGCAGGGGAGACUGGAAUUCCUGGUGUAGCGGUGAAAUGCGCAGAUAUCAGGAGGAACACCGGUGGCGAAGGCGGGUCUCUGGGCAACAACUGACGUGGAGGAGC